rnacentral:rRNA from 1 species
AUUGAACGCUGGCGGCAGGCUUAACACAUGCAAGUCGAGCGGUAGCACAGGGGAGCUUGCUCCCUGGGUGACGAGCGGCGGACGGGUGAGUAAUGUCUGGGAAACUGCCUGAUGGAGGGGGAUAACUACUGGAAACGGUAGCUAAUACCGCAUAACGUCGCAAGACCAAAGAGGGGGACCUUCGGGCCUCUUGCCAUCAGAUGUGCCCAGAUGGGAUUAGCUAGUAGGUGGGGUAAUGGCUCACCUAGGCGACGAUCCCUAGCUGGUCUGAGAGGAUGACCAGCCACACUGGAACUGAGACACGGUCCAGACUCCUACGGGAGGCAGCAGUGGGGAAUAUUGCACAAUGGGCGCAAGCCUGAUGCAGCCAUGCCGCGUGUGAAGAAGGCCUUCGGGUUGUAAAGCACUUUCAGCGAGGAGGAAGGUGGUGAGCUUAAUACGUUCAUCAAUUGACGUUACUCGCAGAAGAAGCACCGGCUAACUCCGUG